rnacentral:rRNA from 1 species
UACGUAGGGUGCAAGCGUUAAUCGGAAUUACUGGGCGUAAAGCGUGCGCAGGCGGUUUUGUAAGUUUGUCGUGAAAGCCCCGGGCUCAACCCGGGAAUGGCGAUGAAGACUGCAAGGCUUGAAUCUGGCAGAGGGGGGUAGAAUUCCACGUGUAGCAGUGAAAUGCGUAGAGAUGUGGAGGAACACCGAUGGCGAAGGCAGCCCCCUGGGUCAAGAUUGACGCUCAUGCACGAAAGCGUGGGGAGCAAACAGG